AGCCUAUGAUGGAUUGGUUAUCCCUGUCUGAA
rnacentral:piRNA from 1 species